ACUAUGGAGAGUUUGAUCCUGGCUCAGGAUGAACGCUAGCGGCAGGCCUAAUACAUGCAAGUCGGGCGGCAAGCGGUGUAGCAAUACACUGCCUAGAGCGGCGUACGGGUG
rnacentral:rRNA from 1 species